rnacentral:rRNA from 1 species
UACGUAGGGAGCAAGCGUUGUCCGGAAUUAUUGGGCGUAAAGAGCUCGUAGGCGGCUUGUCACGUCGGAUGUGAAAGCCCGGGGCUUAACCCCGGGUCUGCAUUCGAUACGGGCAGGCUAGAGUGUGGUAGGGGAGAUCGGAAUUCCUGGUGUAGCGGUGAAAUGCGCAGAUAUCGGGAGGAACACCGGUGGCGAAGGCGGUUCUCUGGGCCUGUACUGACGCUGAGGAGCGAAAGCGUGGGGAGCGAACAGG